rnacentral:rRNA from 1 species
CAGCAGCCGCGGUAAUACAGAGGGUGCGAGCGUUAAUCGGAUUUACUGGGCGUAAAGCGUGCGUAGGCGGCUUCUUAAGUCGGAUGUGAAAUCCCUGAGCUUAACUUAGGAAUUGCAUUCGAUACUGGGAAGCUAGAGUAUGGGAGAGGAUGGUAGAAUUCCAGGUGUAGCGGUGAAAUGCGUAGAGAUCUGGAGGAAUACCGAUGGCGAAGGCAGCCAUCUGGCCUAAUACUGACGCUGAGGUACGAAAGCAUGGGGAGCAAACAUGAUUAGAUACCCCCGUAGUCCCUGUCUCUUAUAC